rnacentral:rRNA from 1 species
UACGGGAGGCAGCAGUGGGGAAUAUUGCACAAUGGGCGCAAGCCUGAUGCAGCCAUGCCGCGUGUAUGAAGAAGGCCUUCGGGUUGUAAAGUACUUUCAGUCGUGAGGAAGGUGUUAAGGUUAAUAACCUUAGCAAUUGACGUUAGCGACAGAAGAAGCACCGGCUAACUCCGUGCCAGCAGCCGCGGUAAUACGGAGGGUGCGAGCGUUAAUCGGAAUUACUGGGCGUAAAGGGCACGCAGGCGGUUAAUUAAGUUGGAUGUGAAAUCCCCGGGCUUAACCUGGGAAUGGCAUUCAAGACUGGUUAGCUAGAGUCUUGUAGAGGGGGUAGAAUUCCAUGUGUAGCGGUGAAAUGCGUAGAGAUGUGGAGGAAUACCGGUGGCGAAGGCGGCCCCUGGACAAAAGACUGACGCUCAUGUGCGAAAGCGUGGGGAGCAAAACG